CUUGGUCAUUUAGAGGAAGUAAAAGUCGUAACAAGGUUUCCGUAGGUGAACCUGCGGAAGGAUCAUUACUGAGUUGGUAAUCCUCUGAAAGGUCGCCGAGUAGGCGGUCCCCCUCAAAAGGGGCCGCCGGAAAGGCCCUCUCACACCCUUGUGUACCCUACCACGUUGCUUUGGCGGGCCGAUCCGGCUUUGACCCGGGCGGCCGGCGCCCCCAGCCUUGACCGGCCAGGACGCCCGGCUAGGUGCCUGCCARUACACAAAACUCCAGCGAUUAUUUCGUGUGGUCCUGACACAUCACUAAAUUCAUUAAAACUUUCAACAACGGAUCUCUUGGUUCUGGCAUCGAUGAAGAACGCAGCGAAAUGCGAUAAGUAAUGUGAAUUGCAGAAUUCAGUGAAUCAUCGAAUCUUUGAACGCACAUUGCGCCCUCUGGUAUUCCGGAGGGCAUGCCUGUUCGAGCGUCAUUGAAACCUCAAGCUCUGCUUGGUAUUGGGCGACGUCCGCUGCCGGACGCGCCUCGAAGACCUCGGCGACGGCGUCCCGGCCUCGAGCGUAGCAGUAACACCUCGCUCUGGAGGACCGGGCGUUGGCCGCCGGACAAAUCGACCUUCGGUCUACUUUUCUAAGGUUGACCUCGGAUCAGGUAGGGAUACCCGCUGAACUUAAGCAUAUCAAUAAGCGGAGGA
rnacentral:rRNA from 1 species